rnacentral:lncRNA from 1 species
UGUAAUGACAACUUUAUUAAGAAAAAAAUAACAGUUUUCGUUAUUAAUAUUUUUGUAAUUUUUUUAAAAAAAAAUUAUUUGAGUUAUUGUAGUAAGUUUUAAUACAUUUAACUAAAAUUGUCCCACUUCACAAAAAUUAAAAAGUUAACAAACAAUAUACUAAAAAAAAAAAAGUUGAGGGAGCAACUUUAUAACGUCCUACAGUUGAGGGGGUUCUCCAUACAUUUUUAAUUUUCAUUUAUUGUAUAAUAAUAAUAAUAAUAAUAAUAAUAAUAAUAAUAACCAACUUUAAUAUUUGUUGGUGAGCUGGGGUGCCAAGUGCAUUACAUGCUUUUGCAGCUUUUGCUGGCUAUCUUUUAUUCUUUUUUAUUAAGAUUAAACUUUUUUUUUUAUGUAAAAAGUUCUCUGUCAUCACUCAUCACAUCUUUUAUUUAUGAAAAGUAUGUAAUUUAGUUUAUUCUCAGGAAUAUUUUCUUAAUUCAUGCUUUCUAGGUGAUUAGUGACAUAACACUCAAUUUGGAAUUGUUUAUGUCACGCCCGGGGUUACUUUUUGAUUUAAAAGCAAUGCGGAAGCAUCCAAUUUUUUUUUUUUUUAAAACCUGAUCCCCGGAGUAUGUCAGAUCCGCCAUAAAUAUAGGGAGUCCACUGUUCAGACGAACAGAGUCUCCCCUAUAUUUGCACGGCGUCGCACAAGUACAAAAGUAUAAUCAGGAUACAACCACAAUAAAUGAAAUAUACAACAUCUAACCAUUUAUACAUUCAUAUACCAUUCACGACAGAUUCACAUGUAGAGUUUGAACAUAAAUCCACAACUAUCAGUUGAAAUGUUUCCUAUCCGGAAACUGGUUUUGAAAUACUAAGUUAUAAAAAACUACGAGGAAACCUUUUCAAAACUGUUUCCUACACGAAAACCUUUUCCUUUUUAAAACACGCUACCACGAGGGGUAAAAAACUAUUUCCAGUUUACAAAACUAUAAAUCCUUUAUUACGAAAUCCCGAUUAUUUAAAUGUAAUAACAAAAUUGAACCAUAUAGAUAUCUAAGUCAUAUCAACAGAAACAACAAAGGUAGCAACUAAACCGAACAAACCGGAUCGAAAGCUCUAGCGGCCGCUAUGAACGUGUCUCACGUCUCGUCCAACCCUCACCGCCCGCAAUACCUGAAAAAUGGUGGGGGAGGUGAGAACAUAUAAACAUGUCUCCCCUCCCAGUAGAUAUCGCAAGCUGACGAAGGCGAGGAGUACUUACCGAAUCAGGAAGAGAUAAAUAAGGUCAUGAGCAGAUAUAACAAAUACAGUAGCCACGAUAAUGAACGAAUGAGAUAUAUAUAUAUAUAUAUAUAUAUAUAUAAUAUUUAUAUAUAUAUUAUAGAGAGAGAGAGAGAGAGCAGGGCUGCUGUGCUCUCAGGAGCACGGAGGCCUCCGUGCUCCUGAGCCGUUUUCGAUGAUGGAAUUUUCGAAUCGACGAUCGGCUCCGUUGAGACUUGAUCUUAGCGCAUUUGAAGUUUCUAGAAAAUAAUUUUGCGAUUUUCUUCGUUAUCAUUUACCUAGUGAUCGAAAGGUUUCAAAAUCUAUAAUUUUUUAAUGGUUGAUAUCAGCCAUUUUCAAGUUUAACGUGUAGAAGUAUUCAAAUCAAAUGAAAUUUUGAUAGAAAUUCUUUAUACUAGCUACAACAAGAUCUAUAUUUCUGAUCGAAAAUUUUAGUGCUAUUCACCAGUUUUAUAGGAUUUUUAUUUUCAGCCGUUAAAAUUAUUGAUUUUGAAUCCUUUCGAUUGCCUAGGUAAAUGAUAUCGAAAAAUCGCAAAAUUAUUUUCUAGAAACUUUAAAUACGUAGAUCAAGUUUAACGGAGCCGAAUCGUCGAUUCGAAAAAUCCAUAAUCGAAAACGUUCAGGAGCACGGAGGCCUCCGUGCUCCUGAGAGCCAAGAGGCCCUGCUAUAAUUAUAUAUAUAUAAUAUAUAUUAUAUAUAUAUAGUUGAGCUAGAAUACUAUCAGUAGUAAACGAUCCAUUUUACUACCGAUUUGUUUUCGUAAUAGAACUUCCAAUUGACGAUCGGCUCCAUUGAACAUGAUCUAUACCACUGAAGUGUUUAGAAAUCAAAUUUCAAAUCUUUUGACAUCAUUUUGCGUAAUGAUCAAAGGUUUCAAAUUUUGUAAUUUUAAUAGUCGAUAAGAGGCGUUCUCGUUUAACGGCGUAAAGAUAUCCAAAUCAAUUAAAUUUUUGUUAGAAAAUUCUUUAAACUAUUUAAAACAAAUCUAUACUCUGAUCUUGAUUACAAGACUCUAUCAUUAUUUUUAAAGAGUAUUCAUUUUCAGCCAUUCAUUUUUCUGUUCACUUGAUGGAUAAAAGAACAAUAUCGAAAGUGCGUGAAUUGAUUUUCUAGAUAGUUUAAAUGAUUUAGAUCAUAUUUUAACGGAGCGAUCGUCAAUUUGGAAGCUCUAUCAUCGAAAACAACUCCGAUAGAUAAAUACUCCGUUUACUAUCGAGAGUAUUCUAGCUCACAUAUAUAUAAUAAUAUACAUACUAUACGUAUAUAGAUAUAUACGUAUAUACGUAUAUUACGAUAUAUAUACGUAUAAUAUAUACAUAUAUAUGUAUAUAUGUAUACAGUAUAUACGUAUAUUAUGUAUAUACAUAUAUAUUGUAUGUAUAUAUGUAGUAUACAUAUAUCAUACAUUAUAUAUGUAUAUAUACAUAAUAUAUAUGUAACAUUAUAUGUAUUACUAUAUAUGUAUAUAUACAUAUAUGUAUGUAUACAUAUAUAUAAUAUAUAUAUAUAUAUAUAUAUAUAUUUAUAUAUAUAUAUUAUAUUAUAUAUAUUAUGUAUCAUUAUAUAUGUAUACAUAUAUAUACAGAAUUGAGUUCCUAUGCUUUUAAAAGUACCAUGUCAUGGUACUUGUAAGUUUUCGUCCCUUGGAUUAAGGGAUGUUGCGAUUAUGAUGAUGUGGGCUCCUAGGGUUGAGUGGGCAGUUGGUUGAAUACUAUACAUCUAACGGUUGAAAAUGAUCAAAGACGUGAGAUCUAACGGUAAAAAUUUACAAGUACCAAAUGUUUGUGCUUUACAAGCACCGUGAGCGGACUCUACAUAUACAUAUAUAUGUAUAUAUAUAACAUACAUAUAUGUAUAUAUAUAUAUAUACAUAUAUAUGUAUGUAUGUAUACAUAUAUAUGUAUGUAUAUACAUACAUAUAUAUGUAUGUAAUAUACUACAGUAUAUAUGUAUAUACAGUACAAUAUAUAGUAGUACAUUAUAAUAUGUGUACAUACAUAACAUAUAUAUGUACAUACAUAUAUAUGUACGUACAUAUAUAUGUAUGUAUACAUACAUAUAUAUGUACGUACAUAUUAUAUGUAAUACAUACAUACAUAUAUAUGUACGUACAUAUAUAUGUAUGUAUACAUAUAUAUGUAUGUAUACAUAUAUAUAUAUAUAUAUAUAUUAUAUAUGUAUGUAUAUAUAUAUAUUAUUAUAUAGUAUGUAUAUAUAUAUAUAUAUAUAUAUAUAUAUGUAUAUAUAUAUAUAUAUAUUAUAUCAUACAUAUAUAUAUAUAUAUAAUAUAUAUAUAUAUAUAUAUAUGUAUACAUAUACAUGUAUGUAUGUAUACAUACAUACAUGUAUAUGUAUGUAUACAUACAUACAUACAUGUAUAUGUCUACAUAUACAUGUAUGUAUGAUACAUACAUACAUGUAUAAUGCAUGUAUAUGUAUGUAUACAUACAUACAUGUAUAUGUAUACAUAUAUAUAUAUAGAUUCGGCUACUAUACUAUUGAUAGUACCAAGUUCUUGAUACUAUUAAGUUUUCUACCGUUUUAGAUCUACCAUUUGAUAUUUCUACCGUUAGAUUAUACUAUUAAACACAACCACCCACUCAACCUAGGGGACCACUAUCAUCCUAACUGCCAUUCUUUCAUCCAACGGCCGAAAACUCUAUAGUACCAAGGGCUUGGUUUACUAUUGAUAGUAUAGUAGCAUAAUUCUAUAUAUAUUAGGGGUGUAACGAGCCAAACACGAGCGGUUGGGGACGGCUCGUGGCUCGGCUCGUUUAAUAAAUGAGCCGAACACGAGCUAGUCCGUUAAAGUAUCGAGCGGACAAAAUUCAGCUCGUGUUCGGCUCGUUAAUAACGAGCCGAACACGAGCUGGCUCACGAGCUGGCCAACGAACAAUAAGUUUAAAAAAUUAGAUUGAAUAUGCAAUAAAAAUAAAUUUAUAAAUCUUAUCCAUUAAACUUUGAUCUAAUAGUUGAAAUUUUAUCAUAUAAAUGAAUCUUUUUAUAAUUAAGCUUGCAUUUAUAUGUUUAUUUUACUAAAAAUUAAAUAAUAAAUUAUAUAUUAUGUAUUUAUUUAUAUAUAAAAAUAUAAAUAAAUAAAUAUAUAAAUAUAAAAUAUAUGUAUUCUAGCGUUUAUCGAGCCGAACCGAGCGAGCUACCCCAGCUUGUUCGGCUCGUUUAUUAACGAGCGAAAUUCAGCUCAUGUUCAGCUCGUUACUAAACGAGCGAUUCGAUCUCGAGUUCAUUUCGAAGCCACACAUGAGCUGGCUCGCGAUCAACGAGUUGGAUUGCCACCCCUAUAUAUAAUAUAUAUAUAUAUAUAGUGAGGCUACUAUGCUAUCGAAGCACGGAGCCUUCCGUGCUUCCAGCUCGUUUUCGAUGUUGCCACUUUCGAAUCGUCGAUCGCUCGUUAACUUGAUCUAGAGUAUUUAAAGUAUCUAGAAAAUAAAUUUAUGAUUUUACGAUAUCAUUUACCUAGUGAACGAAGGGCUCAAAAUCACGGCUGAAAAUAAAAUCUUACAAAAUUGUACCGUGAGAUUAUACUAUUAACCAACACCCACUCAACCUCUAGGGGCACCACUAUAUGCCUAACUGCACAUUAUUUCAUCACGGCGAACUCAUAUAGUACCAAGGGCUUGGUAUUUAUUGAUAGUAUAGUAGAUAAUUUAUUAUAUAUUAUGGGGUGUAAGAGCCAACACGAGCGAGUGGGACGCUCGUGCAUCGGCUCGUUUAAUAAAUGAGCCGAACACGAGCUAGUCCGUUAAGUAUCGGCGGACAAUUCAAGCUCGGUGUUCGGUUCGUUAUAAACGAGCCACACGGCUGGCUCCGAGCUGGCCACGAACAAUAAGUUUAAAAGAUUAGAUUGAUUAUGCAUAAAAAAUAAUUUAUAAAAUCUUUAUCAUUAAACUUUGAUCUAAUAGUUGAAAUAAUUUCAUAUAAAUGAUCUUUUUAUAAUUAAGCUUGCAUUUAUAUGUUAUUUUCUAAAAUUAAAUGAAUAAAAUCUAUAUAUUAUGUAUAUUAUCUAUAUAUUAAAAUAUAAAUCUAAAUAAAUUAUAUAAAUUAAAUAUAUGUAUUCUAGCUGUAUCGAGCCGACACGAUCGCGAAGCUAACCCUCAGCUCGUUUGUUUCGGCUCGUUUAUUAAACGUGAGCGAUUCACCUCAUGUUCAUGCUCGUUACUAACGAGCAAUUCGAUCUCCGAUGAUUUCAUUUCGAGCAACCAUGAGCUGUGCUCGCGAUCGAAAACGAGUUGAUUGCCCAACCGCCUAGUAAUAUAUAUACUAGUAUAUAUAUAUAGUGCAGGCUACUUAUGCUAUCGGAAGCCGGGCCUUCGUGCUUCCGCUCGUUUUCGAUGUUGCGGACUUUCGAAUCUGUCGAUCUGUCGCUUAAACUUGAUUAGAGUAUUUAAAGUAUCUAGAAAACUAAAUUUAUGAUUUACGGAUAUCAUUUACCUAGGUGAACGAAGGGCUCAAAAAUCAACGGCUGAAAUAAAAAUGUGUGGUGUGUAAUUAUGCAGUUAAAAUUUUAAAUCAAAGAUAUUGAUCUUGUUUUAUAUAGUAUAAAGAAUUUUCUAUCAAAAUUUCACGUGAUUUGGAUAUUUCUACACCGUUAAACUUGCAAACGGCUCAUUACGGCCAUUGAAAUUUGUUGAUUUUGAGCCCAUUCGAUCACUAGGCAAAUGAUAUCGAAAAAUAAUAAAAUUUAUUCUCUAGGUACUCCAAAUACUCUAAAUCAAGUUUAACGGAGCCGAUCGACGAUUCGAAAGUCGCAACAUCAAAAACGAGCUGGAAGCACGGAAGGCUUCGUGCUUCCGAUAGCAUAGUAGCCUCACUCUAUAUAUAUAUAUAUAUAUAUAACCAACUAUUCUUAGUGCAAGUGGCAAAAGGCUUGGUGGUUGGUACUCGAGGUUUCAAGUUCGAAUCCUAGUUGGUUUAUUUCUAAAAGAAAUAAAUAAAGCGGAUAGCAUGCCAACUUUCUCUCAAAAAAUUUAAAUAAAUAUAAGUUAAAAUUUUAAAAUUUGAGUCUCCAAAAUCAUGUGUUUGUAUUAGUGGUCAUGUUCAUAAUGACACAAAUUUAUUUACAUUGGCGACAUUCAUUAUAAAUGUUGAUAAUACUUUUAGCAGCAUUAGCAUAGACAGUAUUUGGUAUCAAAUGUUGCUAAAAUUUUUAGCUGCAUUCGUUGAUCUUUUAGCGGUGUAAAUAAAACUAUUAAUGACUAAUUUUCUAGUAGUGAGUGGUUCCUUUUAAAUAUCAAAGAAUCUCUUGACCGCUUGCCAAUAAAUAGACCCUGGGUUGCUCUGGUAACGUCUUACCAAACCAACAGCGAAGCAAAUGUCAGGUCAAGUACACAUCAUAGUAUAUAUUAAGCUGCCAAUUGCACUCAAAUAAAGAACCCUACUCAUUUGCUCUUUUUCUUUAUCAGUUUUAAGGCAUUGAUCAAGAUUUAGAGUGUGAUUCUUCUCUACUAGAGUGUCCACUGGCUUACUAUGAUACAUUCUAAAUCGGUCUAGAAUAUUUUUAAUACAAGAUUCUUGAGACAAACCGAGAAGCCUUUUAGAGCAAUCACAGAUGAUCUUCACACUGAGCGAAUAGCUUGCCUCACUCAUGUUUUUUAUCUCAAAAUUGAGAGACAACUACUCCUUAGUGGUGUUAAUCAAUUCCAUGUCAUUUCCAGCCAAUAGUAUGCCAUCGACGUAUAGGGAGAGGAACAAAAUCUCGUUCUCUGUCUUCUUGACAUAUACGCAAUAGUUUUCCUCUAUUAUAGACAUACCGAUAGAGGUGUUGGCUUCAUGAAAUCUGAAAUACCACUAUCUCGACAACCGCUUGAGACUAUGAAUAGAUCUUUUAAGGUGACAAAUCUUAUCUUCUUGACCUUUGAGUACAAAAUCCUCAGGUUGAUCUAAUGCAGAUGUCAUCCGCUAAUCCUCUAUUGAAAAAAGCUGUCUUGACAUUCAUUUGAAAUAAUUCCAAAUCUAGAUGUGCCACUAAAGCUAGAAUCAAAUGUAUAGAGAUAAAUCACACAACGGGAGCAAAUGUCUCGUUGUAAUCUACCUCUUACCUCUGAGUAUAGCUCUUGGUCACAAGCCGAGCCUUAUAUUUAUCGAUUGACCCAUCCCUCUUCCGCUUAAUUUUUAAAAUUCAUUUAUUUCCAAUAGACUUGCGCUUAGGUGGAAGGUCAACCAACUUCCAUACUUGCUCAUUGAGUUCAUCUCAUCUCUCAUAGCAGUCAUCCACUCACUGCAAGCUGGUAUUUGUAGUGCUUCUUUAUAAGAAGCAGGCUCAUCAUCAUCGAGUGGAGUGUGCAUGAAAAUAUCCCAUUUGAUCUCAAAAUGCCAACGUGGAAGGUGUCCACUUUCACUUCUACGCAAUUGAGGGCCUGAAUUGCCGACUUCUAAGGGUAUGCUUUUACUCAUGGAAGCACUCUCACUAGCUGAAGAGUCGCUACCACUUUUUUUAGCGACUUUAGGAAGUGAUUGAUCACUCUCAACAGCAGAUGGGAUAGCGUCAAUCUGUAACUCAUACAAUCUGACAUCUCUUAGCAUUUCACCAAUCUUGAAAAUUUAUUUUCUAGAAAUUCUACAUCAUGAGACUCAAUCUCAAUCAUACCACUAUCUCAGUGUUCACCAUACAUUACAUAGCCCUUCGAAUUUUCAGGGUAUCUGAUGAACAUAUCCUUGCUUGCUCUAGCGUUGAGUUUCUCGAAUCUAUGUGAGGGGCUAUGAACAUAUCUAGCCCAACCCCAAGGGCGUAAGUAGUGUAAACUCAGCUUUCUACCACUCCACAACUCAUAUGGGGUAAAAGGCACUGAUUUGUUAGGGACUCGAUUAAGGAUGUAGGAUGCAGUCAAAAGAGCAUCUCCUGAAAAUCUUAUGAAAAGAUGCGCUUACGCCAUCAUCAACCUAAUCCUGUCUAGUAGAGUAUGGUUCUUUCGCUCUGCAAUACCUUUUGUUGCGAAGUAUCAGGAAUAGUGAGCCGUCUACUAACGUCCUUUGCAAUAAAUCUUGAAUUGAUCAAACAAGUACUCAUGACCUCGAUCAGUAUGAAGCGCCUUUACACUUCUUUCUAUUUGAUUCUCAACCUUCGCAAUAAAGAGCUUAAAGCAAUUUAAAGCUUCAGAUCAGCGAGAAAGCAAAUACAUAUAACCAUAACGAGAAUAAUUAUCAACGAAUGUGAGAAAAUAUAUGCACCAUGCGUGGCUUUCACAUUCAUUGGCCCACAAAUGUCUAGGUAGAUUAGCUUCAAAGGAUGAGAGGCACGAGUAGCCUUACCAAAACACUUUCAACAUGCCUUCCCAACAUACCUUUCCAGCCAGACAAGGCUCGUACACAGAUAGGUCAACUUUGGCUAAAGACUUCAAAAGGCUUUCUCGAGUCAGUCUAUUCAUUUUUCCUUGAUCUAUAUGCCAUUUAACAGAUUCAUCACAGAGAUUAGAAAAAGAAAAAGCAAAUGCAGAUGAAUCAUCCUCCAAAUCUAAUUUAAAGAAACUAUUAACUAAUGUACUAUAUCCAAAAUAAAGUAUCAUGAAAGAAAAUAUCAAGAGGGUCUCUGUCAAAAUAAAAGGAAUAUCCUAAAUGCAGUAAAGCUAAAACUAAAUAUAGAUUACAUCGAAUUCCGAGUGCAUAUAGCAUAUCUUGAACAAGUAAAGUGCAGCCACCAUGCAACUUAAGUUGGUAUGAACCGACUCCAAGGACUUCUUCCUUCGUGCCAUUCCCAACGGUGGCAAACUAUGUGCCCGACGGUACUCGAUGGUAAUCUACGAACUCCACUCGGUCAUGAACUACAUGUUUGUUUGCUCCUAUACCCACAAUCCAAUCAGGAAGCGAAUGAGUUACUAAAGCAUAAGAGCAAAUAAAAUAGUGUGAGCUGAGUGGUAGGGUUACCUUUUUGGGCUCAAGACAAUUCCAAGCGAAGUGACCCUUUUGCCUACAGUUAUAGCACUUCAGUUUUGCAACAUCCCUAUUGCCAAAGCGCUUGACUCUGUGGCGCUUUCCAACUCCGUCAUGAGGAGAUUGAUUUCGACUCUUAUGCGCUCCAUUGUUGUUAUGCUUUUUGCACUUGGGUGUGAUCCCACCACGUCUCUCAAAGCGUGCAACAAGAGCGACUGAACGGUUCGCUUUCAAACGCUCUGUCUCAAGCUCGAGAUGGCACGAGAUGUCAUUAAACGUUUUAAUACUCUCAUUGUGCAUCAUCAAGAGCUUUAUUUGGGACCAUUCAGGAUCCGGCAGUGAACAAAUCACCGCAAGAACCUGUUGCUCAUCAUUGAGCUCGUUUCCAGCAGCCUUAAGUUCCCGAAUCAUGGUGCUCAUCACACAGAGGUGCUCAGCCAUGGAGUGCUUCGGGUCCUUAGUGUAUUGCUGAAACUUCAAAUGUAAGGCACGUAGCCUUGUGGCUGAAAUUUGCCCAAAAGCAAUCUUCAGAUUGUCCCACAUGUCCUUAGCAGUCUCGUAGGUCUCAAAUUGUCCAAUGAGGUCGUCUUGCAUGGCACAUAAUAUAGUAUACCGGGCAGUUCGAUCCUCCUUGAACCAUUUAUUAUAGACCUCCCUUUCAUGUUGUGUAGUAGUGCCUUCCGAAGGCAUGACCAUUUUGACAUAGAGGGUUCGAAGAACUCCUUGUUCAUUUAAGAGGUAUUGCAUUUUCCUGUGCCAAAUGUUAUAAUUCUUUCCAUCUAACUUAUUAUCCCUGAUGAAGUCAACUAUGACGUUUUGGAAAGCCAUUUCACUACAAUCAAAAAACAAGUUUGGACAUUAGCCACAUUUUCAAAAAAUUAACAAGAUUGUAACACUAUCCUCAACACAACGGGAUUGAAAACUUCUAUGCUCGUAAUCAUCACCAAGUAUUAGUUCAAAAUAUUACAAUCUUAUUAAUUUUUCUAUUAAUUUCGGAACUUACGCAAAAGUUAGAAGUCAUCCAUUUUAAAAAACACAUUCUUUUUUAAAAAAAAUAUAUUUUGAGAACUUUAUCUCCAUAAUAUCAUCACACUGAUAAAAAAUAAGUAUUUGUGCCAAAAUUUAAUUUGAAAAACAUCGACGCUGUGGAAAACACAUUCUUUUACAUGGCCUUAAUUAUUUACAUCAU